CCUCCCGGACGGGUCCCGCUGAAUGAAGGUGGAAGGGGCGUGGAAAAGCGGGGGAGCCCGCUUGCUUUCUGCGUCCUCCCUCUCACUACUGGCUGUUCCCUAAAGUCACAAAGUCCUAAUGGCUCACUUGAUUUUCUUGACAAAAUGGGACUUGCACCCUAGGAGGAUGAGAACUAGGCAAGGAGAUGCCAAACUUACUGCUCUUUGACUUCAGAAACAGGGAUUCUCGGGUCCGAGUGAGGGACAGAGGGCAGAUGGCAUGACCCUGUAUGGUCCUGCAGGCGUUCUUCCAGGUUCGUUUGUCUGGCCCACUCCGUGACAUCAGUGCUGGGGCCACCGCGGCGGCUGACAGCCUCAGGCUCCGUGCUCGGAGCUCAGCGUUCAGUGGAGGAGCAGAUGUUCACCAGUUUGUCUCUAUCAGACAUGAGCAGAGCAAGGACGAUGGACCAACUGGAGGAGUAAUGGAUGGGACCCUGAGACGUGCUUCUCACCACUCCAACUGCUCUGAAGCUGGAGACACAUUCUAACCUGGCUGGAAGUUGCAGGUGGGACUUGGGAGCUCACCUGGAAAUGUGACCCAUCCUCUACAUCCAGGAGCUGCUUAUUAUCAUGUAAAGAUUAACAACCUUGUUGCUGAAACCAGACUCGAGGGCCACAAUGGGUUCUUAAACUGGACCGGAGGGCCGGAACAAAAGCAUGG